GUGGUUGUGGCUCAGUGGUAGAGCAUUUGCCUAGCAUGUAUGAGACACUGAGUUGGAUCCUUAGCACCACA
rfam:Ictidomys tridecemlineatus contig085115, whole genome shotgun sequence.